rnacentral:lncRNA from 1 species
CUACUGACGACAUUCUAUACGGGCAGACUACAGGCUACAUACUAUACUGGCAGACUACAUACUAUACUGGCAGACUACAGGCUUCAUACUAUACUGGCAGACUACAGACUAUACUGGCAGACUACAGGCUACAUACUAUACUGGCAGACGACAUACUAUACUGGCAGACUACAGACGACAAUCUAUACUGGCAGACUACAGGUUACAUACUUACUGGCAGACUACAUACUAUACUGGCAGACUACAGGUGACAUACAAUAUUGGCAGACUACAUACUAUACUGGCAGACUACAGGCUACAUACUAUACCUGCAGACUACAUACUAUACUGGCAGAAUACAGUUUACAUACUAUACCGGCAGACUACAGACUACAUACUAUACUGGCAGACUUUAAGCUACAUACUAUACUGGCAGACUACAAGCUACAUAUUAUACUGGCAGACUGCAUACUGUACUGGCAGACUACAUACUAUACUGUAAGACUACAAACUAUUCUGGCAGACUACAGGCUACAUACUUUACUGGCAGGCUACAGACUACAGACGAUACAGGAAACAACAGACCGCAGGCUACAUGCUAAAGACUACAGGCUACAUACUAUUUCCUGGUUAAAUAAAGGUGAAAUAAAAUAAAUAAAGACUACAUGCUCCAUACUAUACAGGAAGAUUACUG